rnacentral:rRNA from 1 species
UACAGAGGUCCCGAGCGUUGUUCGGAUUCAUUGGGCGUAAAGGGUGCGUAGGCGGCGCUGUAAGUGGGGUGUGAAAUCCCGGGGCUUAACUCCGGAACUGCAUUCCAUACUGCGGUGCUUGAGGACUGGAGAGGAGACUGGAAUUUACGGUGUAGCAGUGAAAUGCGUAGAGAUCGUAAGGAAGACCAGUGGCGAAGGCGGGUCUCUGGACAGUUCCUGACACUGAGGCACGAAGGCCAGGGGAGCAAACGGG